UACGUAGGGAGCAAGCGUUGUCCGGAAUCAUUUGGGCGUAAAGCGCGCGUAGGUGGCUUCGUAAGUCCGUUGUGAAAGUCAAAGGCUCAACCUUUGAAAGCCGAUGGAUACUGUGGAGCUAGAGUACGGAAGAGGCGAGUGGAAUUCCUGGUGUAGCGGUGGAAUGCGCAGAUAUCAGGAGGAACACCAAUAGCGAAGGCAGCUCGCUGGGACGUUACUGAUACUGAGGCGCGAAAGCGUGGGGGAGCGAACAG
rnacentral:rRNA from 1 species